AAAAACUCAUACAAGCUGAAUUCUGCUUGGGAAUUAUUUGUUGAUAGGUCUUCAACUUAGGUCUGAGCAAGAACUGGAAUAGUCGUGGUUAGUUCAGAUCGCUACUACUUUUGGCAAGCAUUGACCUUUAACUUUAAGGCUUGUAACAACAAAGUAAAAUACAAAGCGUUAAUAGCCGACUUGAAAAUGGCCAAAGAAUUAAAGUGUCCAAGCUGAUAGCGCACAAUGACUUCCAGCUCAUAGUAAACCAGAUCAAUGAGGUAUGUGAUAAGUGCAAUUUGUGAAUUUAUUUAGGUCACAUUAUUAAAUUUUUAAUUCGUCAAAUUAUUAAUUCCUAUUCAAUUUAGGUUAAUUUUCUUUUUAUUUUUAGUGAUUGACUUGUUCGAAGCACUUAGAAAAGAAAGAAGGAUGAAAUUGAAUGAAAUUGCGAAUUAUGGGGAUCAAAGUCACACUUUGAAAAUUGAAAGACUUGAAUUGAACUAAAGAAAAAUGUUGGUUGCACAAUUAAUUUGAUUUAAGGGUUAGAAUGGAAGGGAAGAAAAAAAUUGAAAAAAAAAAAAAAAAAGAACCAUAGAAAAAGUCGGCUGGAAGAGGAGAACAGAGGGCUGCCUUGUGAUUUAAUGAUACAUAUAUAUACCCACAGAAACACGAGGAUGAUACAUACGAGGAAUGAAACAUUGGGCUCUGUGUGUAUAUAUAUAGCAAGCAGCAAGAUUGGACCAAAAAACACACAAUUGGGCUGAAAAUAAAAGAGGGCAGACCUGCUAGUGAAAGGGAAUAGAAGCACACAGACAAUUGGCGGCGCCGUGGAGAGACACCAACCGACCAGAAAUUGGACUCCAUUUUGGAGUCAAACAUUGAGCUGCUAGGGGCUGAAUUAAACUUUCUUUGUUUAAUUCCAACAUUAUGCAAAAUUAAAUUCUCUCAUGUUUUGGAGGAUGAUGAAACCCUUUAUAAUUUAUUUUUAAUUCGAGACAUUUAGUAUAAUUAAAUUCUUGUAAUUUUUGAUUAAUCUUGCAUACUGUUGGGAGUCGAAUUGCUGAUCACUUUGAUUUAAAUUGUGCUUCCACAAUUUUAACUAAAAGCGUGUUUCGUAAAGUGACACUUUACUAAUGGAACGAGUCAACUGGAUUGUGACACGUGCUGAUCUCUUGUCCGUUGGAUCUGAUUCUAGAUCAUUCUAUGUAUUUAACCCUAAAUGGUUUGGGUGGCUGUUGGCUUUUCAUUUUUACUCCUUCCGGCUUCUCGAGUUCAAGGGUUUUUUGAGUUGCCUCUCAUUUUGACUCUGUUCUUGAGUGAUUUUCAGAACUCUUUCUUGAGUUAAUCCAGAAUAUGUUAUAGAUCUCUAAGCUACUGAACUGCCGUGUUGAAUUUAUGGAAACCUGAGUGGUUUCAUGUGAUGUGCAGUCGGGUUUGAUGAAAUCUUGGUGAUUUCUUAUGUUUCCUAUGUGGAAUAGCUUACAUAUUGUAUAAUGACUUGUGAAGUCAUGUGAUUCUUGGAUGGCAAUACCUGUGACUUAAGUGUCUGAGUGAUCUGUUCGUGGUUUCUUCGUGAACCGUGGUCUGCCUUGGUGAAUCUUUAUGAGAUAAGUCUUUGUGACUUGUAUGUUGUAAUAUUCUGGAAACAUUGUAUACUUACUGCCUGAUUUUGGGGGCCUUAUAGUGCAACCGAGUUGAAUCCAUUGAUAGUGGAUGCUCAACAAGGGAUUAGGCACUUGUGCUGAACCUCUGGAGCUUCGACCGAAAAAAUCAUCGUGUUAAUUAUUUUUGCACUUUUAUUUUAUGCAUUUCUUGGUUCGGUUUCUAUGAAUGUUGGUUAAUCUUGAGUGUCUCGACAUUUCAAUGGUAUCAGAGCUUCUUGGAAUAUUGAGGACACCUGAUUCUUGAAGGAACCGGAUUCUUGAAAACUGCUCCAAAUUGUAGUGAGCACUGGCUGCAGGAAUCUGAGUUCUUCGAACUCAUUUGGUGAGAUCUUUCCUAUAUUACUCUGCUAGUAAUAUUUACUGUAGAAUUUCCUGAAUAUUUCCCUUGACUUACCUUGCAUUAUAAAACCUAUUGUGCUUGGUCUUUGUCCUAAGGCUCUUGAAGUCAUAGGAAUCUGAGAUAACAACGCAGUAAGGUGUGAAAUUGGAAGGUCCUGCUGGAGAAAUUCAAUUUUGACAUACAUAGGAAUUGUGAACUCUGUUUGAUAUUCCUGCUUCUUUACUGAGUGCUGUGUGUUCAUUGCUUGAGUAAAUCAGUUGAAGUGUUUACUGAUUGGAUAAAAGUGCAUAAGUACAUUGUUGAAUUUACCCCUAAUCCCUUAAUCAGUCUGCAGUCACCACAUUGUAUAUCCCUGUGUGUUCUUGAGAUCAAACUUGUGUGCUGUGUAUUAACUUGGUGUUUCUUACAAUGGCAGCCACUGCUAAGUUUGAAAUGAGCAUGUUUGAUGGAAGGGAGGAUUUUAGUAUGUGGAGUCACAAAAUGAAAGCUAUUUUGAUGCAACAAAGGUGUGCUAGAGCCCUAGAUAAUUCUUGGCCUGCUAAGUUACCUCCUGGUAGAAGAACUAAGUUAGAAGAAACUGCUUGGAGUAGCAUUUUCUUAUAUCUUUCAGACAAUGUGAUCAGAACCAUAGGAGAAACUAAAACUGCUUCUGAAUUGUGGAACAAAUUGAAAGCACAAUAUGAACCAAAAACUGUUCCAAACAAAUGUUUUGUGCUAAAACAAUUCUUUUCUUUCAAAAUGGAUCCAUUUGUUGACUUAGAAGAAAAUUUGAAUAGGUUUACAAAGUUGAACCAAGAUCUAGCCAACUGUGAUGAAAAAUUAUCACAAGAUCAGUUGGCUGUGGUCUUGUUGAACUCUAUUAGUAAUAGGUAUAGAGAUCUAAAGAAUGCCUUGGAAUAUGGUAGAGAAAAUCUUACCACAGACAUCAUAACAAAUGCCUUAAGAAAUAGGGUUCUUGAAUUAAAAUCAGAUUCUAUUAACCAACGAAAUGGAGAAAAUCUUUUGUUAAAGGGCAAAAAUGUUGGUACAUCUAAUUUUCAUUCAAAGUUUCAAAAUAACCCUAGAAAAAUGAAAUUUGACAAAAUGAAAUCUAAAUAUAAGGCAAAUGGAAAGAAAUGUUACUAGUGUGGUAAGUUGGGUCACUUUGCUAAAGACUGUUAUAAAAAGCAAAAUGAUUUGAAAGAAAAGAAGAUAAGUGAAGGUAACAAUGUUAUAUCCUAUGAUAAACAAAAUGUGAACUAUGGCCUGGUUCUUGUAAAUGUUGAAAGGAACCUAAAUCAAGAAUGGAUUCUUGAUUCAGGUUGCUCUUUCCAUAUGUGCCCUGACAAAAACUAUUUUUUGGAUCUUGAACAAACUAAAGGUGGCCAAGUUAUCAUGGGAAAUAACAUGACUUGCAAAGUAAAGGGUAUUGGAACAGUAAAACUACUUCUGAAAAUGGCAGAAUUUUACUUUUAAAGGUACCAGAUUUGUUCCUGAAUUAGAAAGAAACCUAGUGUCUCUAGGAAUGUUGGAUGACAUGGAGUUUGACAUAAAAUUGGGUCAAGGACAAAUAAAAAUCUUUAGGGAUAGUGAUUUAAUCACUUCUAUCCCAAAUAGAUAUGGUUUAUACUUUCUAAAUGUAAAACUUUACUUGGAUUUUCAGCAACAAUUUUAGUGAUAAAAAUAAUCUUACAAAAUUAUGGCAUUGUAGACUUGGUCACAUUGGGUUGAAAGGGUUUAAGGCUUUACAUAAUAAAGGUGUAUUUGGAAAACUAAACAUUGGUGACUUGUCUAAUUGUAAACAAUGUUUGGUAGGAAAACAAGUUAAGUUACCUUUUCCCGCGAGUACUCAUAAAUUAAAGCAAAUUCUAGAAUAUUUACAUGCUGAUUUGUGGGGUCCUUCAUCUAUCCCUACAUUGUCUGGUUAUAAAUAUUACUUGUUGAUUGUUGAUGAUUUUUCAAGGAAAUUUUUGGUUUUUCUAUUAAAAACAAAAGAUGAAACUUUUACCAUUUUCAAAGAUUGGAAAACUCAAAUUGAAAAUCAAACUGACUUGAAAAUCAAGACUUUAAGAACAGAGAAUGGUCUAGAAUUUUGCAACUAUGAGCUUGAUAAUUUCUGUAAAGGGCAUUACAGAAAGGAUGAAUAGGACUAUAUUAAAUAAGGUUAGAUGCAUGCUUUUAAGUUUAGGCCUGCCCAAAUUAUUUUGGGGUGAGGCUGUAAAAACUACUGCAUAUUUGAUUAAUCGAAGUCCUACAAGUGCUUUAAACUAUGAUGUGCCUAAAUUUGAGUGGACACAAAAGCCUGUUACUUAUUCUUACUUGAAAACAUUUGGUUGUGCUGCAUUUGCUCAUCAAAACAUAGGAAAACUUGAACCUAGAUCUAUAAAGUGUGUGUUUUUGGGCUAUGCUGAAAAUGUUAAAGGAUAUAGGCUGUGGGUUUAUGAGGAAAAGGGUUAUUGAGUAAUAAUAAGGAGGGAUGUGGUCUUUAAUGAAUCAUGUAUAACAUGUUUGGAAGGGAAGAAAGGGAACUUAACUGAAAAUGAUGUCCAAAUUGAGGUGGAGCCUACUAAAAUUGAUGAUAUCAGUUCUGCCCCUCUAGAAACUGAAUGUACAAAGGCUGACCAGAAUGAGAAUGAGCCUGAUUUGACUGAAUCUGAUCAAGGUGAUGACUUAAUUCUACCCCUAGAUGAGUACCAGCUCACUAGAGAUAGGGAUAGAAGGCAAAUUAGACCACCUGCUAGGUUUAAUAGUGAUGACUUUGUGUCUUUGUUCACUUACCAAGAAGAAAUUGAAUCUGAACCUAGUUCCUACCAUGAAGCCUUGAAAUCUAAAGAUUCUAAGCGGUGGUUGAGUGCUAUGGAAGAAGAAAUGUCUUCCUUAUACAAGAAUGAAACUUGGGAAUUGGUUGACAAACCAAAGGAUAAUAAACUAGUUGAUUGCAAGUGGAUUUAUAAAAUAAAGGAAGGGGAAGGUGGCACUAAUAAUGUUAGAUACAAAGCUAGACUAGUUGCCAAGGGUUUCACACAAAAGGAGGGUGUGGACUAUGAUGAGAUUUUUUCCCCCGUGGUCAAAUAUACAAUUAUAAGAUGUAUUCUUGCUUUAGCUGUGCAAUUUAAUUGGAAACUUGAUCGAUUGGAUGUAAAAACUGCUUUUCUUUAUGGUGAAUUGGAUGAAAUUAUCUACAUGAAUCAGCCUUUAGGAUUUAUAAAAGAAAAUUCUGAAAAAACUGUGUUUGCUGAAAAAAUCUUUAUAUGGCAUAAAACAAGCUCCAAGACAAUGGUAUAAAAUAUUUGAUUCAUUUGUCUUGAAACUUGGGUUUAGUAGAAGCAAUUAUGAUACAUGUCUUUAUUGUAAAGGAAGUGAUAGUAAAGAUUCUUUGUAUCUUGUGCUUUAUGUUGAUGAUAUGCUUCUUGCUAGUGCCAAUAAAGUUGAAAUUGAUGAUAUCAAACACAAACUAAAAUCAAAAUUUGAUAUGAAGGAUCUUGGUUCUGCUAGGAAGAUACUUGGCAUGCAUAUUAAAAGAGAUGAAAAAUCUGAUUGCUUGAUUUUAUGUCAAGAAGAAUAUGUGAAUAAGAUCCUUAAGAAGUUUAAUAUGUUUGAUUGUAAGCCUGUGACUUUACCCCUUGCUAAUCACUUUAUUCUAACAUCUGAUUCAUGCCCCAAAACUGAAGAUGAACUUGAAAGAAUGUCUAAAAUACCUUAUGUCAAUGCUAUUGGUUCAGUCAUGUACUUAAUGAUUUGCACCAGACCUGAUUUGGCAUUUAGUAUUAGUGUUUUGAGUAGAUUCAUGGGGAAUCCUGGUGAAACACAUUGGGAAGCCUUAAAAUGGUUAAUGAGAUACUUAAAAGGUUCAUCCAACCUAGGUUUGAUGUUUAAAAUGGAUAAAGAUGGGAUAAUUCUAAAAGGUUAUACAGAUUCUGAUUUUGCUGGAAAUAGAGACAAUAGGAAAUCCACUUCAUCUUAUUUUUAUACUUUUUGUGGCACUGUAAUAAGCUGGAAAUCUCAAUUGCAGAAAAUUGUUGCUCUAUCUUCCAUCGAGGCUGAAUAUAUUGCAGCCACUGAUGCCAUCAAAGAAGGCAUCUGGCUGCAUGGUUUGCUAAAUGAACUUGGUUUUGUAGAUACUAAUCCAAUUCUGUUUUCUGAUAAUCAAAGUGCAAUCCAUUUGAGUAAAAAUCUAAUGUUCCACAGUAGAACAAAACACAUUGAUGUUAAAUACCAUUUUAUAAGGGAUAUUAUUUCAAAAAGGUUGCUGAAAAUAAAUAAGAUUUGUACCUUGAACAACCCCUCAGACAUGGGAACUAAAGUAAUACUUUUAAACAAAUUUGAAAAUUGUUUGAAGAUAUUAUCUAUUGAUUCUUUAUAUUGAAUGUACAGGUACACUGAGCAUAUGAAACUAUAAAUGCUGGUUAAGCUCAUGGCUGCACUAUAUGUCUUAAAAUUAUGGAAGCAAGGUGGAGAUUGUUGGGAGUCGAACUGCUGAUCACUUUGAUUUGAAUUGUGCUUCCACAAUUUUAAUUAAAAGCGUGUUUCGUAAAGUGACACUUUUCUAAUGGAACGAGUCAACUGGAUUGUGACACGUGCUAAUCUCUUGGCCGUUGGAUUUGAUUCUAGAUCAUUCUAUGUAUUUAACCCUAAAUGGUUUGGGUGGCUGUUGGCUUUUCAUUUUUACUCCAUUCGGCUUCUCGAGUUCAAGGGUUUUUUGAGUCGCCUCUCUUUCUCUCUCGAUGAAUCUCUCAUUUUGGCUCUGUUCUUGAGUAAUUUUCAGAACUCUUUCUUGAGUUAAUCCAGAAUAUGUUAUAGAUCUCUAAGCUACUGAACUACCGUUUUGAGUUUAUGGAAACCUGAGUGGUUUUAUGUGAUGUGCAGUCGGGUUUGAUGAAAUCUUGGUGAUUUCUUGUGUUUUCUGUGUGGAAUAGCUUACAUAUUGUAUAAUGACUUGUGAAGUCAUGUGAUUCUUGGAUGGCAGUACCUGUGACUUAAGUGUCUGAGUGAUCUGUUCGUGGUUUCUUCGUAAACCGUGGUCUGCCUUGGUGAAUCUUUAUGAGAUAAGUCUUUGUGACUUGUAUAUUGUAAUAUUCUAGAAACGUCGUAUACUUAUUGCCUGAUUUUGGGGCCUUAUAGUGCAACUGAGCUGAAUCCAUUGAUAGUGGAUGCUCAACAGGGGAUUAGGCACUUGUGCUGAACCUUUGGAGCUUCGACCGAAAAAAUCAUCGUGUUCAUUAUUUUUUCACUUUUAUUUUAUGCAUUUCUUGGUUCGGUUUCUAUGAAUGUUGGUUAAUCUUGAGUGUCUCGACAUUUCACAUACUUAAUUUUAUUAUUUGAUUGCUUGAUCACCAAUCGAAUAUAUGAUUGCUUGUUGUAGUGUUGGGAGGCUCACAAUAAGUCUAGAGUACUAUUUGAUUAAUAUAUAUAUAUAUAUAUAUAUAAAAUAAAUUUUAGGAAUAAGAUUUAUUAUGUGUGCAAUCUUCUUUGAGAUAAUUGUGAAAUUAAAUGUGUUCUAUUCAUUCGAUUCAGACUAGGAAUAGAUUCGGAUCGUGAUUAGGAUACAUUUAAUUUGUUUUGAAAAAAAAAUUAAUUAGAUUAGAAUUCAAGAAUGCAUGAACGAAAUUAACAACGUAGUCAAGAAUUGAAGUAGAUAAUAAUAGGUGGAUUCGAAAUCCCAUAUAAUCUUCCCAUAUUGUUAAAUUCGCAUUUUACUCGCUUUCGUAGAUUAAGUUAGAUUAAUUAAAAAUCACAAAACAUUCUUAUUUGAUCACUUUAAAUUUGAUUAAACACUAGUGUAGUCAAUUAAAUUUUAUUCCUCGUGGGACGAUACUUUCAACUCAUCAAACCUAUUACUUGUCAACGAUCUCGUAUGCUUGCAGGUUUCGCAUGAACAGUCUGGAAGAUCAGUGAGUAGCUAUUUGAAAGCUACUAGAAGAGAAUUAAGGAACUUUGAGAUGAUAGAGGUAAAGCAACUACCUCGAUUCUAAAAUAGCCACACUAAUUUACCGGCUAGGUUCGCAACUGGCGAAGGGAUAAAUGAACAGAAAAGCAUCCUUUGGGAAAAAUUGGAUAGUCUACUGUCUAGGAAAAUAAUGUAACGCUGAUGGCCAUAUAUUCCAAGCCAUGUUGGAUGAGACCUUACAGUUCCUAAGAAUUUGGAAAGGGCUCGAUGAUCCAGCUGAGGAAUCUUUGAAAAUCAUAUGGGAGGACAGUCUUCAUAUCAUAAAAUCUUGAGCCAAGGAUAUCUUUGGCCAUCUCGAAUGAAGGACGUUCUAAACUUUGUGAAGAAAUGGGACAAAUGCAAAUAAUUUGUAGCCAUCAUUAGAGCUUACAACCAUAAUCAGCCCUUAGCCAUUUUCAAAAUGUGGAAUAGACUUGAUUGGGCUAAUGCCGGUUGGAGGAGGUGGAACUAAGUUCGUUAUUGUCCCCGUUGACUACUUUACCAAAUGGGCUGAGGCUGAACCUCUUGCAAAGAUAAUCGAGUACCAAACUACAGAGGCAUUUAGAAAUUGAUUAUUUGCAGAUUUAGAAUUUUCCAUUGCAAACUCACAAAUAAUGGAAAACAAUUUAACAAAGCACAUUUGAGGACCUUUUGCAAAGAGCGAAACAUUCAAAAGCAUUUCUCCAUUCCAAAUUAUCCCCAAGCUAAUAAGCAAGUUGAAACAAUCAAUAAAAUUUUCAACUAUACUUUGAAAGAUAAAUUAGAUGCUCUCAAAGGCUUAUGGGCUGAUGAACUCACUAGCGUGUUAUGGCCUUAUCGCAUCACCUCUCACACCAGUGUUGGAGAAACCUCAUUCUCCUUUGUGUGUUGGAGUUGAAGUCAUGAUUCUCCUCAAAAUAAGAGUCCUAUCAUUUCAAACCUCAUAUUUUGAUAAGGAGAACAACAAAAGGAAAUUACUAGUUGAGCACAACCUAUUGGAACAAAAAAGAAACGAAGUUGAGCUUUAAAAGGCAGCCUAUAAGCAACGAAAUGCCAAGUACUAUAACGAGAAAGUGCGAAUAAGAAAAUUUGAAGUUGGCAAUUUGGUGGUAAGAGAAGUAUUCAUCGUUCACAUGGGAACUCAACAUGGGAUCCCUGGGACCUAAUUGGGAGGGACUAUACAAGGUUACUAGAAUAUUAUCUAAAGGGUCCUAUGAGCUCGAAGAUAUACAAAGAUACCCAUUCUUGUGUCUAUGGAAUGUUGAACACCUCAAAACAUAUUAUCGGUAGAUGAUGAAUUGUACGACAUUGUACAAGAAGUUUGAAUAAAAUGAUCUUUAUGACGAUCACCUCAAUCUUGUACAAUACUUUGACAAAGUUUCAUGAAAAUUUUGGACAAACCUUUAACUUAGCUAAAGCUUGCCUCAGUUACAACACUUUGCCCAAUUUCCGACAUGAAAUUCUCAAGUCUGCUUCUCAGCAGCACAAGCUAAGGUUGUAAAUGCUACAACACUUAGACAAAAUUUUGUGGAAAUUCUGAACGAGCUCUUAAGCUCAGUUAAAGCUUCCCUUAGCUGCUAUACUUAGCCUAAUUUUAUAUACAAAAUUCCUAAGCAUGCUACUUAAUAGCAUGAUCUAAGGUUGUAAGUGUUACAACACUUAGAUAAACUUUCAUUGAAAUUUUGGACGAGCUUUUUGACUUAGCUAAAACUUGCAUCAGCUGCCAUAGUUAGCCCAAUUUUCGACACAAAAUUUCCAAGCCUAUUCCUUAGUAGCACAAGCUAAGAUUGUAAGUACUACAAUAGUUAGACAAAAUUUCGUGGAAAUUCUGGAUGAGCAUUACAGCUCAACUAAAGAUUGCCUCAGUUACAGCACUUAACCUAAUUUCCAACACGAAAUUCAAAAGUCUACAUCUCAGCAGCCUGGCUAAGUGUUACAAUAUUUAGAUAAAAAUUCCAUCAAAAUUCAUAUGAAAAGAUAAUAACAAACCUAAAUAUGAUAAGAAGUAGCCAAAUCAUAGAAAGACCAUAAAACAUGAUAAUAGUGUUUUUUCCCAAAAGAAAAACCUAAAUAAAGUAAAAAUCAAGCCCCCUAAAUAGGAAGAGAAGCAUUAUCACCAUCCUAGCUAAUAGGUUGGUUGUCUUGCUCUGAAACAGCUUUACCAUCUUCAUGAGCCCCAGAGAAGACAGUCCCAUUCAUGUCAUCUAGGAUUGCCUCAUAAUGGGAUAAGGUUUUCAUGAAGGAAAGUGACAUCCAAUUCUAGGGCCUUUUCUCCAUAAAAUUGAUCAGCACGUGGAUGGCCACCACAUAUACCUCUUGAUUAUAAGCUUGACCCUCAAGAGAAGCCUUCUACCUAUCCAUAGCUGUAGUCAUCUUAACCGCCAAUAAUCAAGGAGGCUCAAAAGAAGAAAAUUCUUACCUUAUCCAAAACUUCCAUUAAGUAAAGUAUUGACCUAUGAAUACAGACCCAAAAAUAAUACAGGAUUCAUUUGCACAACAUUUGAGCCAAAUGUCUUUACACAUGGUCAUUCCAUCUCCCAAUUAUAAGAUAUGUCAAAUUUUGAAGUGGAAGAGGAAAUGCUAAAGUGAAAGCCCUAGCUAGUGAAUGAGCUCUGAAAAAAAUCCAACAAAGCCCUAGGACAGGUACCACCAAAUCAUUCAAAUUUUACCUCGAAAUGUCUGGAUAAAAGGUGUGGGAAUGAAUCAAAGAGGCAGUUGCAGAACAAAUUAGAGAAGAAAUCACCGAGGGUUGAAUGGGAACUAGGCGAAUAUGCUCAUACCCAACUGGAGAAGAUUGAUGCUGCUAAGUAGGUAGAUGCUCACCUAAGAUGAGCUCACCCUGGAACGAUGAGCUAAACUGCCUUCCGCCUGAAUGUCCAACCUUCUCUUCUCCCCCUAGAAAGAUUAUACCAUUGGCGGGCUACUCUAAAAUACCUCAUCUCAAUGCUCGAUUCUGAAAAAUGGGAGGCAAAAUUUAGUACUUACUUGGGGCAUGAGGAGUAUUAGUCGCAAAAGAUCCACCCAAAAGAGGUUGUAAUCAUUGAUCAGGGCAACACAGAUCUUUGCUGGUGACUAAGAGCCCUAAUAAUAUUCAACUUGUUCCGGAGCUUAUGAUUAAUAGCAACUCAAUAUGAAGCUAUCGAAAUAAAGAAGUAAAAAAAAAAAAAUACAUCUCCUCUGUUAUCACUAAAAUAAGGUAAAAAAAUCGUACUUAUUCAUUUUCUGGUGACUGGUAAGGACCAUAUACCCCUGUCCACCUCAAACGAGUGGAACUGUCAAUCAACAUGAACGAAAAAGAAUUCUUCAUUCCACUUCUUAGCUGCAAAGGUGCCUUCCUAAAGCACGAGACCUCCUAAAUUUGGUUCUAGCUAGUAUAAUACUAGCCCAAAUCCUUUCCAUCCUCUUUGAAAUUAUGUAAUUCGUUGAACUCCUCGACCAUGAGCUCAAGGAACCCUGAGCCGUUCUGGCCAUUGGGAUAAAAUUAAGUAUGCGCUAUACCCCAAGCUUAAUUAAAUUUACAAACAAUAUGAUGAAUGGUAAUUUUAGGCUGAAAGACAAGAAAGGAUAAGGGUGACCCUCUACAGAUUGCAAGCCCAUUGGUUGGGUAAGGAAUACAGCAACACCGCCAAGCUAGGAAUGUAGCAGAUCCCUCUCCACUGCUCGAGGUACCCAGCUGUUACGGAAGACAUGAUAUCCCAGCAUACCUAGCUAACCUACGAGCCAACCUCACCUACUCCACGAACAACCACCUCUUCAACAUUCAUAUUCCCAUGAUUUCCUCUGGAUGAACUUGCCACGAUCUUGGAAAAAUAUGGGAAAAAUGAAGGGAAGUAUGGUUAUUUAAAGAAGGAAAAUUUCAAACUAACCAUAUUUGGGCCAUUGAUGGAAAAACAAUGGGAAAAUGGAAGGUCAUUGAUAUAUUUAUGGGGAAGCUUUCUCUGUAAGUCAUCAUGGGAGAAAAAGUAUGGACCAAAAAUUAUUAAAGGUAUUUAUUAAAGGUCCAAAAAUUUAUUUGACAUAAAAUCUUGGACCUUAGGGGAUAUUUGCAAACCUCCACCAAUUUAAAAGUUCAUUAAGGUAAUUACAAUUUGUUUUGAGUUGAGUUUAAAGGUCAUCAUGUCAAAACAGAGCUUCCAAACUAAAACACCUAGCUCAGUACAACUUUCAACUGAGCUCAACUUCUCAUUGAAAGGGGAGAACUCCUGCUGUCAUUUGGGAAACAUUGCCAUUACACCCUGAUUUCCUCACUCCAAAGCUGACUUCACACCUUUAUCUAACCCAUUCAUUUCGAGACACAUGGCAAACAUCAUGUGGCAUCUCCAAUCGUGGCCAAUCGCAACUUUGCAAUGAUUACUCCCCAUUUCAACUCCAACUUGGCACAUGGGAGCUCACCUUAAUACUCAAGCAAAAUUAAGAUCAGCAUCACACAUCUUAAGGCAAUCACUAUAGCCGAUUUGAUGUAACACUAACAAUUUACCUAUUUCCUCUAUAAAUGAGGAUAUAAUGGCUCUUAAUAGGAUCAAACUCGACCAAUGCAUAAGACUCACAUCCAAUUGUCUCCAUUUAAAAACAAAAACACUCUUUUCUUAUUCUUUCAACAACAUUUUACCAUUUCAGCACAAUUUACAUAUUUCAGUUCAAAUUAUCUCCUAUAAAUCAUCAAUUAAGUUGACAAAAGUGUCCUAGUCAUUUUUUGACGUCAAUAAUGCCCAUGUUGUACUGAAGGGACAGAGAAGGUCCCAAUUAUAUGUCUUACAGGAUUCUACAAAAUGUUUGAUACAAAUAAGUAUAAAUUAGGUAUUCCCGUAGAGUUUGAGUUUGGUAUAGUAUCGUGAGAGUUUGGUUUGUCGUUCACAUUAAAGAAUACAUCUCAAUCGAGUUCAGAAGUCAAGGGUAAUGUCACUUUAUAACCACAUCUAGAGGUGCCUAAGUAUUCAAUUGCUAGAGACAAACCCAAGAGAAAUAUUAGGUCUCCGCAGAGGUAAGUUGAAGCUCAAUUAGUUUCUUGUACUUCAAAUGUGGUCGAAUAUAUUGAGUGUAAAGAAUUUUUUACAGAAGCAAAUAGUUUUGUUGAUUCUGCUAUGGGGUGUGUUUCUGACUUGUUUGGUAAUUAUUGUUGAGUUAUUUGUUAUUUUGUUGUUGUUGGCGAUAAUUCGAGGAACUUUGGUACCCAGGAUAAUCCUGCUAAGCAGUGCUUGAUUUCAUAUAAUAUUCAAUUUUUCCUAAUUGGGCUUUGUGGGAGAGUGAAGAGUUUUGUUGGAGAAUUUUUGUGGAAGUGCCAAGUUCUAUUCCUUGCAGUUGAAUUCAUUACUAGGAGGAGAAUUUUUUAAGUCUCAUUCAUUGCAGUGAAAUUUGUGUCAAGGUGGAGAUUUGUUAAAUUGUGACCCAAAUUUCAUUAGAAAUUGGCAUUUUGGCUGGAAGAGGUCUUGAAAAUGUCAAAAUAUGAUUAAAAGAUGUCUAGGGCAGAGAUUAAGCAACCAAAUCCCCAACUGGACGCAUAAUGCCAAUCAGGUGUGAAAAUCAUAUCUAAAAUAGAGAUUUAGCGCCUAAGUGCCAGACGAAGUGCUGCAACACACUUGUUGUGCACAAGGAAGGGAUCUAGAGUGCCAAUGUUAUCUGAAGAAAUUUUGAUUCCAUUUUUUGACACGAUUUUUUGACACUAUUUCCAUUUAAAACAUAUUCCAUUGGAUUGUAUAAAUACUCCAUAUCAUUUUGGCUAUGUAUAGGAUUAGAGAACACAUUAGGAACACAAAAAUAAUUGUAUUCUCUUCUUAUAUAUUGAAUUCCCCUCCUCUGCCCGUGGUGUUUUUCACGUUAAACUCUUGUGUUGUCUUCAUACUGUCAUAGUCCUCUCGUCUAUUGAAUAUAACAAAGCGGUAUCAAAGCAAAUUGAUUUCGCCUCAUUUUACUAAAUAUCUCUGAAGUUUAGAUAAUUGAAAGGUUUAUAAGGUCAUAAAAGGCACAAAAUGAGAAAAUUAUAUAGUAUAUAUUUCUUUAAUAAAUUGUCGAUUUAGGUAUUCGUUGGACAAGAGAUCUUAUAUGGACGUUUGAAUUUAGUAAAUUAAGGUUUCUUCAAUAAAUUUGUUAUUGAUACAAUCAUUCAACAACAUUAAUAUAUAUAUCUAAUGACAAAAAGUUCUACACUUUGUAGGAAUAUGGUACCAAAAUGCAUUUAUCCACCAACAACGGACAAAGGGAAGAGUAAGGCCAUUGGAUCAUCAAAAGAAAGGUAAAAAAAUGCAAUAAAUUUGAAAACGUCAUUAUAACCCCUCAUAGAAAAAGAG
rnacentral:lncRNA from 1 species